AACGAACGCUGGCGGCAUGCCUAACAUAUGCAAGUCGAACGAGACCUUCGGGUCUAUUGGCGCACGGGUGCUUAACGCGUGGGAACCUGCCCUUAGGUUCGGAAUAACUCCCCGAAAGGGGUUCUAAUACCGGAUAAUUUCUUCCGACCAAAGAUUUAUCGCCUUUGGAUGGGCCCGCGUUGUAUUUGCUAGUUGGUAGGGUAAAAGCCCACCAAGGCGACGAUCCAUAGCUGGUCUGAGAGGAUGAGCAGCCACACUGGGAUUGAGACACGACACAGAACCAGAAGGUAGGAAGCAGUGGGGAGUGUAGGGAAAUGGGAGAAGGACAGAGCAACCAAAGGGGCGCGAAUGUUGAAAGCUAUAGGGUUGUAAAGGACUUUGAACCGGGAGGAUAAUGACAGGGCCGAGAGAAUAUGCACCGGCUAACUCCGU
rnacentral:rRNA from 1 species